rnacentral:lncRNA from 1 species
ACGAGUCGGUGCUGUGGACGGAGAGCCGCGACGUCGGCCAGGGCUUCCGCUGCGUGCGCAUGGUGAACAACAUCUACCUCAACUUCGACGCCUUCCACGGUGACAAGGACCAUGGCGGCGUCCACGAUGGCACCACCGUCGUGCUCUGGGAGUGGUCCAAGGGCGACAACCAGCGCUGGAAGAUCCUCCCCUGGUGUAAGCAUCACAUUGGAGUAGUCCUGGCUUCUUAAUUUUCAUCCUCGGAAUCUCCGAUCCCUUCACUAAUUGGCUGGCUUGUUUGUUACGCAGAGAUGAAGCCAAGCGUGACGUUGAGAGGACCGGCCAGAGGAACCUUGCUGCUGCUGUCUUGCCAUCCGGCCGCUUCUUCAUGUUGAUCGAGUCGUCGUCGUCGUUCUAGUAUCUUCUUCGCAUUAUCGGUUUUCAAUAAAAGCUCCCCAGCAGCGACGAUGUCAUCAGAUCGUGUCGCUCUUCCCUGCUGGCUUUAGUUUGUGUUUGGUCUUCUCCUUCUGAAAGACAUGAAUUUGAGGAUGUUGAUGAUGAGUUUCAGACUUUGCCGAUUCGUGACGCCUAUGCAUGUACCUGUCUAUCUCCUCCUUAAAGACAUGCAUUUGAGGAUGUUGAUGAUGAUCUUGCGUUCUCUUGUUUUCAUCUGACCGUGACACGCGCCUGAUAAUACUGUGACUAGGUGAACAGUAUACUAAUACUACUUGAUAGUAAUGCGUUGAUGCGCAGCGUUGAUUCUGAUGUUGUUGGUGGCAUAGGACGAAAGGGACUUUACCUUGUCAAUUUCCACGGCGCCCAGCACGUACUACUGUACUACGCCUCUGUAUUCUACUAUAUCAAUCCAAUCCUUAACGCCUAAGCAUCUCAAGUCUGUCUUGGCUGCUGGAAUUAACAAUGCAGAUGCAUUGUUUACAGGUAACCAAAAAAUAAUCCUCUGACAACUUACUCCUUGAGGAUGCAGACCUGCACAUGACUGACAAGAUAAAUAAGCAGGUAUGCCAAUGCGAGGAUGACGACCCGUGUGCUAUGUUCUUUGUUAAUGAAAGAAAUACUGCACUUAUCGACGUCAAGAAUUAUCAAAUCCUAUAUAAGACGAGCGAGGUACCAAGCUAGAGUUGGUGAUCCGCACUGAUACGUUUGUGCUAUCAGAUUAGAUGGAGACUGCAAAGUUGUAGUAGCUGGUAGGACCUGGCCUGCCUACCUCAUACGAUCUGGUCUGAUCGGCGCCCAAGCACUUGACAGCACGUUCUUCUUCCAAGUCAAAUUAGUUGGUGCCGCUGAAAUGCUCAUCGAAACAACCUUCACCCAAUCACACCAGGACAACCAAAGUUGAGCAUUGCACUUGCACAGCAGCAACGCGGUGUCUUUUCCCAUCCUAGUUCCACAACGCUCAUAGGACAGACAUAGAUCACGAGCAGCGAGUUAGGGGGUGUUUGGUUCCACGGAUUAAGAUUCAGUCCCUGUCACAUUGAAUGUUUAGAUACUAAUUAGGACAACUAAACAUGAGCUAAUUAUAAAACCAAUUGCACAGAUGAAGGCUAAUUCGCGAGACGAAUCUAUUAAGCCUAAUUAGUUCAUGAUUUGAUAAUGUGGUGCUACAGUAACCAUUUGCUAAUGAUGGAUUAAUUAAACUUAAUAGAUUCAUCUCGCGAAUUAGCACAGGGUUCUGCAAUUAAUUUUAUUUAGCUCAUGUUUAGUCCUCCUAAUUAGCAUCUGAACAUCCGAUGUGACACUACACCCCUAGAUUGUGAAAGGUAGUAACUGCGAUCCACCGAACGUUGGUGUGCUCGGCUGGUGACGCGCCCAGAUUUCACGCAAAUCAAUCAGCCGUUACUCUCGGCAGGUUUCAAAAUUUCACACGUUUCCGUGGGUUUGGAGUAGUUUGGGUUCCAUGUAUAAUCAGCUCAGAGAGCCAAGGCACUGUAAUAAUCCCAUCCGUUGUGAACCACACAGAGAUAGCGAGCUUGUGCACUUUUUACCUACAAUGGAGUACUAUGAUGAAAUAAUUGAUGCACGGCUACUAUGAUGACAUCAGGAGUUGCUAACCUCCUUUGCUAAAGGUAUCAUGAGUUGGUGAUCCACAUCGACACCUUUUCUGCUUCGAGAUGGACACACACACGUCUUUGAUCGGGAUUUCGAGUUUUGGACAGGGAGAACGCAUUUGGCAAUCCAGGCCUUUGUCUAGCGAAGCAAACUGCAAACCUACCUGAUGUGCAUGCCACCGUCCAGAUAAAACCUGCCAAGCUUUGCAAACAUACUAGAGCAAGUUCUUGAAGAGAGUUGUUGGUGUGGUGCCCAUGGGAAUUUGGGAUUACAUACCAAAAACCCCACCUAACCGCACCAGGACAACAAGGUUUACCAUCACAACGCGUCGUACCUUUCCCAACGCUCACUGGAUUACAGGACACAUAGCACGAGCAGUGAGUCAGUGACUAGUGAUGUUACUGAAUGAAGUCAUUCAGGCCUCAUUUGCAGCUUACAGGACAAAUUUCACCUACUCCCACUGGUAAAAGUACUGGCGGUAACUGGUCGCAGCAAUGGCAGAGCGAGCUGGAGCGGUUCACUCUCUCAUCAUGAAAGUAGGAAACUGCCUGCACCAACCAACGUUACUGGACUCCGCUGACGACGCGCCCAGCCACCAGGUUUCACGCGGCGGACCAGCCGUUGCUCGGUUGCUCCGCGCAACGCUCCAGAUGUUCGGAAUCCUUCACCUGUUUUUGUUGGACGCGGUAGUUGAGAGUUCAAACUUGAGAUCGAAAUGGCUCAAACUUCAUCCGGAAAAUGGUUCAGAGUUGGCACAGAGCAAGGCUAGUACUACAAAGCAAUGCUCACUUUUCUGUUCAGCAAAACGAUGCGAAUGGUGUCGAAAUUUUGAACAUUCUGAUCCAUUUCACAGAUAGUGACACUCGUGCAGGCAAGCUGACUGGCUGGAAGAUUCUUAUCAGGUAAGAGCCAGGGAAUGGGAGAGAUGUGCUCAUCGGAAUCGAACUAGGGAAUGGUGACGGCUUUUCAAUUUCGCUUGCUGAGUUCUAAGCUGGUUCCUUGUCCUUUUAACCGUGGCAAAUUACCGCUAAGCACUGUGCUUCCAACGUCGCCGUAUCAUUAUCUACGAUAAGCCUGGCACGUAGAUCGACACAGCAUACAGAGAUAAAGGUGCACAAGCAAGUGUCAUCCAUGAUCGGAGUCAAGUAGUCCGUUUCUGUUUCUAGUGUAACAGAAAGAGAGGAAGAUUACAAAAACCCAGCACAACUGGGGUGCUGUGCACCGCACCGGCAGGAAUCCCAGCCUCCGUUGUUUUUGCGGGGAAUCAUACAGCGUCGGGUUCACGCGUCUAUCUGUGGCCACUGGUGGGUGCACAUCUUCGUUACAGCAUUUUUCUAGUUUCAAUCCAAGAAUUUUGCAAAGACAAGAAUCAAAUUUCCCUAUAUUGAAAAGAUGCAUUUUUUUUUGGAAGGAAAGCCGCAUAUUGUCAUUCGUGUCGACUAAAGAAAAUUCUAUGCCAUGCGGCACCGAACAGCAUGGUCUCUGGUUCUCUGAAAAAAGAGCCCGGACGCUGUAGUUGAGCGAGCACAAAACUUCUGAAUUUUCGGUGCAAACCCGGGGAAAUGCUUUAGUUAGAAUCUGAGUAGAUGGAGUACUGACGACGUCAAUCUAAGAACUGAAGGGAAUGCUGACAGUGCAAUGAACUGUGCUCCACGAACCUGUCACAUGCUCACAUCAGAGGCAGGCCACGCCAUCUGCAUAGCUAGGAUUGCUAAAAUGCAGCCAAGUGUAGGGUACUACUGGCACAACCUUGAAGCGUGUGAUUCACUGUUCCUUUCACAAUGGAUAUCCUGGCAUGGCAUGGCCAGCCCUCCUUUGCAUGCAGCUAAUGCAAACAAAACAAAACGAAAUUUUGUUGCAGUAGCUGUGCUCCAGUAAUCCUUCACAUUAGAUUGAUGACCAUCCAGCCAGGCCUUCGCUGCACUGCAUGACACCUUCAGGAAGGGUAGUAAGGUUAGGUUCAUCGAACCAAAAAUCUGCCAGUACAAACUCCCAGAUUUCAAACGGCUAGAAUGCAAAACAUGACAAAAGUUUCUUCACCAAAUCAUGGUAAUCAGGGACUGUAAACACGCUUAUCACGAGGGAUCCAACGCGGAGAAUCACCGGGCCCCACUUGCCAGCGAGAGAGCCGGCAGUUUUUACUUUUUAACGCUAGCUGCCAAUUACAGGUAGUACAGUGUUUUACUGCCGAUGACUCAUUUCCUGGUCAUCCAGUGAGUCCAGGGCAGCCGUUAGGGACUUGGCCGCUGGCCUGCGCUAUAAAACGCGGCGGCGGGGCAGCGCCUCUCCUCGCACCUCAUCACAAUUCACCACAGCUCACACUCCACACCUGCCAACCGAAGAUGUCGUGGUUCGGGCACCACCACCACAACCAGCCGGCUCCCCCGGCGUCGGGCCCCAACCAGGUGUUCAAGAUCUUCUGCCGCGCCAACGAGAAUUACUGCCUCGCCGUCCGCGACGGCGCCGUCGUGCUCGCCCCCGCCAACCCCAAGGAUGACCACCAGCACUGGUACAAGGACAUGCGCUUCAGCACCAGGGUCAAGGACGAGGAAGGCAUGCCGGCCUUCGCCCUCGUCAACAAGGCCACCGGCCUCGCCAUCAAGCACUCGCUCGGCCAAUCCCACCCGGUAAGUAUUUACUUGUCUGUCUGUACAUGUUCAUCUACCAUCAGCAAGGAGAUGGAGAUCGAUUCUGAUUGCAAUCCGAUCGAUCCAUAUGCUGUAUGCAGGUGAAGCUGGUGCCCUUCAACCCUGCCGAGGAGGACGCGUCGGUGCUGUGGACGGAGAGCAAGGACAUCGGCAAGGGCUUCCGCUGCAUCCGCAUGGUCAACAACACCCGCCUCAACUUCGACGCCUUCCACGGCGACAAGGACCACGGCGGCGUCCACGACGGCACCACCGUCGUGCUCUGGGAUUGGUGCAAGGGCGAGAACCAGAGCUGGAAGAUCCUGCCAUGGGGCCCCGAGGCGCACUCCCCCGCCGCCGGGCCCGGGAACGCCUCCAUCGGCGGCGUCCCCGUGCACACCGUCCGCGUCUUCUGCAAGGCCGGCGAGGACUACAGCCUGACGGCGCGCAACGGCACGGUGUGCCUGGCGCCCUCCAACCCCAGGGACGAGUACCAGCACUGGAUCAAGGACAUGAGGCACAGCACCCGGAUCAGGGACGAGGAGGGCUACCCGGCCUUCGCCCUCGUCAACAAGGUCACCGGCGAGGCCAUCAAGCACUCCACGGGGCAGGGCCACUCCGUCAAGCUGGUCCCCUACAACCCGGACUACAAGGACGAGUCGGUGCUCUGGACCGAGAGCCGCGACGUCGGCGACGGCUUCCGCUGCGUCCGCAUGGUGAACAACAUCUACCUCAACUUCGACGCCUUCCACGGCGACAAGGCCCACGGCGGCGUCCACGACGGCACCGAGAUCGUGCUCUGGGAGUGGGCCAAGGGCGACAACCAGCGCUGGAAGAUCCUCCCCUGGUGUAAGUGUACAUCCAUGCCAUUGAUGCCCUGCCUUACAUCCUUUGAAAAUCUCAUGUUUUCCAAUCAAUGGUUGCUUGCGUUCGCAGAGAUCGAUGGAGACGGCGGAACCUGAUGGACUGGAACCAAGUAGCUGCUACCUAAUAAUAACCGAUUACUGCAGCGAUUGAAUAAACCGAGUGUUAUGUUGUAAUCGCGGAUUUCGGAGUUGUAUUUGCGUCAGACUGUCGGUCACAGUGUGACUAGUGUCCUGUCCCUUCUGUGAGCCUGGCCUUAGUGCCUCACCAUGUGAGGAGUGACCUGUAUUGUGGAGGAGUAGCCUCGAUCUGAUCCUGCAUUGUGGUGCGAUCCUUCUGGCUUUCUUUCGAUUUCCGGCGCCACAACUCUGUAUCAUCUCGUCUCCUUUGUUCUACUGAAUGAAUAUGCAUCUGCAUUCUGUUUCACCUAUCUUUGCGCUGGGGACCAACUCUGUUCCAUGGUCCACGUGAAACCCCCAGGUUGUUCGCGGAAAACUUUCUUUUUAAUAACAGAGCGCUGCAAACCGACGCCUGUGCAAAGCAAUCUUUUUUAAAAAAAUAAGCAGAGCACUGCUGAUUCAUUUAAGAAGAAAGAAAUUCGAAGUUACAAGUAGUUCGAUAUUAUAUAAAUUGAUGAUCGCGCUGCUCUUAAACAUUAAAAUAAAUCAAACUGUGCCGGACAAAUGUCAGUCACGGUGGAACUGCAGCUUUCCUGGAGAUAUAGAUGUACAGUCGGGCCUCCCGGCGGUCCGGCACGGGCCCAGCAUGGCCCGUUCAUUUUUGUGCUGGGCCUGGCCCGUCACGACAACCCUGUCGUGCCAGGCUGGGCCAGCCCACGAGCCUCAGUCACGGCCCAGCCCGUAGUGCCUUUUUCGUGCCGGGUCGACCCGAAUAGCCCGGUAUUUUUUACGUGUCGUGCCGGCCUACAGCCCGUUAAGAAAAAGACUUCACCGAAUGAGCGUCUGAUUCAUAAUCUAACACUUUCAUUUGAACACAUAGAAAUUCAUCACAUUCAUCAGUUCAUCACAUAUUCACAUUCACACAUAUUCAUCACGUGCAUGGAGCUGGGGAGCGGCCAAUUCAAGCACUCGAGGUGUCGGAUCUGCCGAUUCGAGGCGAGGAGGCGCCGGAUCAGAGGAUUUGAGGUCGAGGGCUCGAGACGAGGAGGUGUCGGAGCAGGACGGGACGCCAUGUUGCCGUCGGCCGUCGGCACCUCGACGGGACUGCGGUCUGCGGGUGCGCCGGUGCGAGACAGGGGGAUGGGGGAGGACUGGAGGAGGAGGCGAUGGCCGCGAGUGGAGGAGGCGAGGUGAGGAGGCGAGGAGCGGAGGAGGCGAGGCGAGGAGGCGGCUGGUGAAGGGGUAGAGUUUGCGGUUGCGAAGGGGAGGCCGAGGCCGGUGGGGGGCAUAUAUAUGCCGGGCGCUCCCGAUCGUUGGUGGGCUGCAGAGUUGGGCCGGCUUGACGGGCCAUCAACGGACCGGCUGUUCGAUUUCAUGCCGGGCCGUGCCGCCCGUCGGGCCUAGGCGGCAGCCCACGCCCGGAACGAAGCAUCGGGCCGGGCCGAGCUUAGGAUGGGCCAAAAAUGGGCUUCGUGCUGGGCUGUCGGGCUACAGGCUGCAUGUACAUCUAUACGUGGAGAGAACUGGACGAGCUGGGCCUGCUCGCUCGGCUGCCAGCCCAAGUAUCUGCCGCAGCAGGCCCAUUACAUCCAGGUCCAGCCCCUGAAAGAUGGGCCUUCUGAAACAAGCAAAAUCUCGGUUUAUCUGGCCUAAAGCGGGCCCAACCAAACCGACUUGGAAUCGAAACUCAACAUGUUAAAGCAGGAAAGGAUCAAUAAAUGCUGCGAUCAGAGAAGCACAUUGUUUUUGCUGCGGUGAAGAGACGAGGAAAAAAAAUGUACUGCAGUGUUCGUUGUGCAGUUCUUCCUCAUGCACUGUGCGCGCUUAAGUUUGUAGUCCUACUUUGCCUACUCUACCAAUUCAAGACUCUAUGUUAUAAUCUGCGCAUUCUGAUUUUUUUUUAUCAUUACCAUCUCUGUAUUAUUUUCUCCGAUCCAUAGCCCUGCUGCUGCUUUGGUGACCUGUUCUUCACAAAUAUCACUCCUGCUAUGUCGAAUCUGAAUUUCAAAUAAAAGUACUAGCUCAUUUCUUUUACAAGAAUAUUUCAGAAAAAUGUCCAGGAACUAUAAAGAAAAUAAUAUGUUUUCAAUAACUGUGGAAAAAUAUAUUAUGCAUCUACUUGAACGUUUGCGUAUAUUACGUGUUGAAAAAAAAGGAAAAGAAAUCCAUGGGCUUCCCGGUGAAGCAUUUUUCUAAGAAAAAAAAGUUGAAACUGGGAGGGCCGAGGAAACGGAAUGGGCCUUCUUGUUUCCAAAGGAGAAAACUGGGCCAGUAUCCCUGAUGCAAAACAACUGCAAAUGUACGCAGAGUGCAGAUAACAGUAACGCGCAGCAUCUAGAAGGCACGUAAACCAGAAGGAAUACGUCGAUAACGAUUCGAGAUAAUCAUCAACGAAAAAUAUUCGAAUUCGCUGCUUAAUUGGAUCCCAUUAGUUUUUUUUAUUCUUUGAGCAUUAUUACGUUUAAUUCCAGGCCUCCAGCUUGCGGUUAAGCACAACGCGUGCCCCUCCACAACUUUGUAUCCUCGCCGUCAAUAAUGGCCGCAGAGCAACGAUUCUUCUCAAAACGACUAGAAACGGAAUCACGCAAAGCUGGGCUGCUAGUGUCGCAUGGCAUCAUCCUUCCUGCCCAUGCACGCCCCCGUCGCUCGAUAGAUGCAGAUCGCCAUCGAUCACCUGCUACACCGCGCAGCGUGAUGCUAACGCCACGCACCCACGAUGCAGCGCCGCGACGCGAGAGCCCUAUAAAUCCCCCGUCCGUUGCCCUAUAAAUCAAUCACACAAACAAGAACCACAACACAAGUGCUUGCUGCUAGCUGCUUAAGAAAAGAACCAGGCACACCAAAGAGAGAAGAGAGAUGGACUUUUACGGUGGUCGUGAGCGUUACGGCGGCGGUUACGGCGGCAUCGCGACGCCGGGGUACGCUCCGCCGGUGCCGUACGGGAUGUCGCAGGUGAACAUCGAGGGCAAGGGUUGCGGGCGCCCUCUGCCGCCGCAGCCGACGGUGAAGGUGUACUGCCGCGCCGACCCCAACUACGCGAUGACGGUCCGCAACGGCAAGGUGGUGCUGGCGCCGGCGAACCCCAAGGACGAGUACCAGCACUGGAUCAAGGACAUGCGGUGGAGCACGAGCGUCAAGGACGAGGAGGGGUACCCGGCGUUCGCGCUGGUGAACAAGGCCACCGGGGAGGCCAUCAAGCACUCCCUGGGGCAGUCCCACCCGGUGCGCCUGGUGCCCUACAACCCGGACUUCCUGGACGAGUCGGUGCUGUGGACGGAGAGCCGCGACGUCGGCAACGGCUUCCGCUGCGUGCGCAUGGUGAACAACAUCUACCUCAACUUCGACGCGCUCCACGGCGACAAGUGGCACGGCGGCGUCCGCGACGGCACCGAGAUCGUGCUCUGGAAGUGGUGCGAGGGAGACAACCAGCGCUGGAAGAUCCAGCCAUACUACUGAACAACUGAUUCAUCAUCUGCCUCAUCCCUAUGCACGCUACUACGCCUGCAGGAGCAGGAGCAUGGAGAUCUUGAAAUGAUAUAUGGAAUAAUUGUCUAGCCUCGUCACUAGACAAAAGCAGGAUCAAGCGCUUACUUAUGGUCAUGUAUGCGUUGCAUGUGUA